AGCUCUAAUAGCGUAUAUUAAUGUUGUUGCAGUUAAAAAGCUCGUAGUUGGAUUUUGGAGUUUGACAGAUGGUCUGCCAUACGGUGUGUACUAACUGUUGGCUCUUCUCUUCUGGGGACCGCCUUGGCCUUAACUGGCGAGGGUUGGAACGCAGAUCGUUUACUUUGAAAAAAUUAGAGUGUUCAAAGCAGGCCAAUGCAUUGAAUACAUUAGCAUGGAAUAAUGAAAUAGGACUUUGGUCUUAUUUUGUUGGUUUCUAAGACUGAGGUAAUGAUUAAUAGGGAUAGUUGGGGGCGUUUUUAUUCCAUUGUCAGAGGUGAAAUUCUUGGAUUUAUGGAAGAAAAACUACUGCGAAAGCAUUCGCCAAGGAUGUUUUCAUUA
rnacentral:rRNA from 1 species